GACGAACGCUGGCGGCGUGCUUAACACAUGCAAGUCGAACGGAAAGGCCCCUUCUGGGGUACUCGAGUGGCGAACAGGUGAGUAACACGUGAGUAACCUGCCCUUGACUUCGGGAUAACUUCAGGAAACUGGGGCUAAUACCGGAUAGGAAUCCUUGCUGCAUGGUGGGGGUUGGAAAGCUUCGGCGGUUUUGGAUGGACUCGCGGCUUAUCAGCUUGUUGGUGGGGUAGUGGCUUACCAAGGCUUUGACGGGUAGCCGGCCUGAGAGGGCGACCGGCCACAUUGGGACUGAGAUACGGCCCAGACUCCUACGGGAGGCAGCAGUGGGGAAUAUUGCACAAUGGGCGGAAGCCUGAUGCAGCAACGCCGCGUGCGGGAGGACGGCCUUCGGGUUGUAAACCGCUUUCAGCAGGGGCGAAGCUUGUGGUGACGGUACCUGCAGAAGAAGCACCGGCUAACUACGUG
rnacentral:rRNA from 1 species